ACUGCUCAGGACGAACGCUGGCGGCGUGCUUAACACAUGCAAGUCGAACGAUGAUGCCCAGCUUGCUGGGUGGAUUAGUGGCGAACGGGUGAGUAACACGUGAGUAACCUGCCCCUGACUCUGGGAUAAGCGUUGGAAACGACGUCUAAUACUGGAUAUGAUCACUGGCCGCAUGGUCUGGUGGUGGAAAGAUUUUUUGGUUGGGGAUGGACUCGCGGCCUAUCAGCUUGUUGGUGAGGUAAUGGCUCACCAAGGCGACGACGGGUAGCCGGCCUGAGAGGGUGACCGGCCACACUGGGACUGAGACACGGCCCAGACUCCUACGGGAGGCAGCAGUGGGGAAUAUUGCACAAUGGGCGAAAGCCUGAUGCAGCAACGCCGCGUGAGGGAUGACGGCCUUCGGGUUGUAAACCUCUUUUAGUAGGGAAGAAGCGAAAGUGACGGUACCUGCAGAAAAAGCACCGGCUAACUACGUGCCAGCAGCCGCGGUAAUACGUAGGGUGCAAGCGUUGUCCGGAAUUAUUGGGCGUAAAGAGCUCGUAGGCGGUUUGUCGCGUCUGCUGUGAAAUCCCGAGGCUCAACCUCGGGCUUGCAGUGGGUACGGGCAGACUAGAGUGCGGUAGGGGAGAUUGGAAUUCCUGGUGUAGCGGUGGAAUGCGCAGAUAUCAGGAGGAACACCGAUGGCGAAGGCAGAUCUCUGGGCCGUAACUGACGAUGAGGAGCGAAAGCGUGGGGAGCGAAC
rnacentral:rRNA from 1 species